GUCACUUUGCCGGAGUGGUUAACGGGAUGCCCUGCUAUACACCAAUGGAUAUGCAAAAUAGCUAGUUAGGCAUUGCUCUUUGAGCGCGUGUGUUCGAAUCGCACAGGUGACG